rnacentral:rRNA from 1 species
ACGAACGCUGGCGGCGUGCCUAAUACAUGCAAGUUGAGCGAUGAAGAUUGUUGCUUGCACCAAUUUGAAGAGCAGCGAACUGUUGAGUAACGCGUUGGUAAUCUGCCUUUGAGCUGUGGACAACAUUUGGAAACGAAUGCUAAUACCGCAUAAUCACUUUAAACAUAAGUUUUAAGUUUGAAAGAUGCAAUUGCAUCACUCAAAGAUGAUCCCUCGUUGUAUUAGCUAUUUGGUGAGGUAAAGGCUCACCAAGGCGAUGAUACAUAGCCGACCUGAGAGGGUGAUCGGCCACAUUGGGACUGAGACACGGCCCAAACUCCUACGGGAGGCAGCAGUAGGGAAUCUUCGGCAAUGGACGAAAGUCUGACCGAGCAACGCCGCGUGAGUGAAGAAGGUUUUCGGAUCGUAAAACUCUGUUGGUAGAGAAGAACGUUGGUGAGAGUGGAAAGCUCAUCAAGUGACGGUAACUACCCAGAAAGGGACGGCUAACUACGUG